AACGCACCUUGCGCUCCUUGGUAUUCCGAGGAGCAUGCCUGUUUGAGUGUCAUUAAAUUCUCAACCUUUAGCACUUUGUGUUAAGGCUUGGAUUUGGAGGCUUUUUUGCUGAUUUUCUAAAGUCAGCUCCUCUGAAAUACAUUAGCAGAAUCUUAUGUGAUUUCAUCUUUUGGUAUGAUAAUUAUCUAUGCCACUUGUCAUGACACAUAUUUUGAGAUUUAGCUUCAAAUAGUCCAUUGUAAUGGACAAAUUUAUUGACAAUUUGACCUCAAAUCAGGUAGGACUACCCGCUGAACUUAA
rnacentral:misc_RNA from 1 species